UGGUCUUAGCUUGCUAAGGCCGAUGGCGACCGGCGCACGGGUGAGUAACACGUAUGCAAUCCACCUGUAACAGGGGGAUAACCCGGAGAAAUCCGGACUAAUACCCCAUAAUAUGGGCUCUCCGCAUGGAGGGCUCAUUAAAGAGAGCAAUUUUGGUUACAGACGAGCAUGCGCUCCAUUAGCCAGUUGGCGGGGUAACGGCCCACCAAGGCGACGAUCGGUAGCCGGACUGAGAGGUUGAACGGCCACAUUGGGACUGAGACACGGCCCAGACUCC
rnacentral:rRNA from 1 species